rnacentral:lncRNA from 1 species
CGGCAGCGGUGGGGAGCGGAGCUCCUUGCGGAGCGGAGCUGGAUGCUUGUGGCUGCGCGGAGGUUGCAGUGCACCGUUGGAUAUACAGACAUCAGCCGUCAUGAUCUGUGGCCCUUACUGCUGCCUACUGCCCUCUCUGCUACCACACACAGUAUGAAUCCUUAUGAAUCAUGUCAGAAGACAUCACGUCAUCUUCCCAAGAUGAUUAUACAGAGGAUUUUGAGGAUCUGAAUAGCUUUGAAGAACUGUUUGGGCAGCGCUCUGAGCAUUCAGCAGGGAAAGGAGAUUAGUACGAGAUAACAGUACUCCUAAAAAGCACCUGCAAAAAAGAUUUGGACUUCUGGGAUAUCCUUGACAUCAACCUGCAAAGUGGCCCACGCUUGGAGGGCCACCCGGCCUCUCGCCAGUGCCAGACAUCAGGAUGUUUAAUGAUGUUCUGCAGCACAGUAUGAGCUGGAGCAGUGUAAUGGCUUUGCAGUGAGCCCUCACCUGAAACCUGACUCAGCUCUUCACGUUAAACCAAUACGGCAUCAAUGAGCUUAGCUAAGGAGGCACAGCUGACACCAUUGGCCAUAGCGGACAUCCUGUAAGCAUGUGUGCAUCACACCUUCUGUUGCAUUCCAGCCUGUGGGGACUUUGGAAAAACUUAAAGCUUUUCUAUUAAAGUAAAUAUUGAUGAAUGUCAGUGUUGUACCUCUGUAAUUCUACAUCAGAUGCUGCAAAGCAGUCACACAAUAAA